GCCUUGGUAGCUCAGCCGGCAGAGCCCGUGCCUUUUAAGCCCGUGGCCGCGGGUUCGAGCCCCGCUCGAGGUG
rfam:Perkinsus marinus ATCC 50983 gcontig_1104296682642, whole genome shotgun sequence.